AGACGUGACAUCAGCUGUAAAUAAUGUGACCAUCUGCUCAACGGAGGCUCCAGCAGGAACAACCUCUCACCCCAGCACUACCAGUGGCAGUGAGACGGACUCUUCAGGUAACUCCACUGAAGGCCUCUCCACCCCUGCAUCCACUAUGAAGACCACGAGUGACUCCACUGAAGGCCUCUCCACCCCUGCAUCCACUAUGAAGACCACGACAGACACCACAAAGUCCACAGAGACGACUCAGACAAUGACGACCUUCAAAGCCAGCGUUUCCCAGAGCAGUAAACCAGGUAAAGGUUCUCCAGGUAACCAGCAGAUCCCAGAAGAUGGUGUUUACUGUCUGCCUCCAUGAUUCUCUCUCUCUCUCUCUCUCUCUCUCUCUCUCUCUCUUUCUCUGUGCC